GACGAACGCUGGCGGCGUGCUUAACACAUGCAAGUCGAACGGAAAGGCCUGCUUUCCCUUGUGGAUUGCGGGUACUCGAGUGGCGAACGGGUGAGUAACACGUGAGUGAUCUGCCCCCAACUUGGGUAUAAGCCUGGGAAGCUGGGUCUAAUUCCCGAUAGGACUGCAGGGUGGUGCCUGUGGUGGAAAACGAUUUUCUAGUGGUUGGGGAUGAGCUCGCGGCCUAUCAGCUUGUUGGUGGGGUAAUGACCUACCAAGGCGGCGACGGGUAGCCGGCCUGAGAGGGUGGACGGCCACAUUGGGACUGAGAUACGGCCCAGACUCCUACGGGAGGCAGCAGUGGGGAAUAUUGCACAAUGGGCGGAAGCCUGAUGCAGCGACGCCGCGUGGGGGAUGACGGCCUUCGGGUUGUAAACUCCUUUCGACCGCGAGGAAGCCACCUGGUUGGAAGGGUGGUGACGGUAGUGGUAGAAGAAGCACCGGCUAACUACGUG
rnacentral:rRNA from 1 species